GUCUUUUUGAGUUUAAUUUAAAGUCUAAUCUGCCCACUGAUAAAUAUUUAAGGGCCGCAGUAUUUUGACUGUGCAAAGGUAGCAUAAUCAUUAGUCUUUUAAUUGAGGGCUUGUAUGAAUGAUUGGACGAGAUAUAUACUGUCUCAUGAAAAUUUAAAUAGAAUUUUAUUUUUUAGUUAAAAAGCUAAAAUAUAUUUAAAAGACGAGAAGACCCUAUAGAUCUUUAUAAUUUAUUUAUAGAUUUUUUUAGGUUAUUUUUUAGGUCUAUAAUUUAAAUUAUUUUGUUGGGGUGACAAUGAAAUUUAAUAAACUUUCAUAAUUUUAUUACAUUGAUUUAUGAUUUAUUGAUCCACUAUUAGUGAUUGAAAAUUUAAGUUACCUUAGGGAUAACAGCGUAAUUAUUUUGGAGAGUUCCUAUCGAUAAAAUAGUUUGCGACCUCGAUGUUGGAUUAAGAUUAAUUCUAGGUGUAGUCGCUUAGUUUAUUAAGUCUGUUCGUCUUUUAAUUUCUU
rnacentral:rRNA from 1 species